rnacentral:rRNA from 1 species
CCCUUAGAUGUUCUGGGCCGCACGCGCGCUACACUGAUGCAUUCAACGAGCCUAUCCUUGACCGACAGGUCCGGGUAAUCUUUGAAUCUGCAUCGUGACGGGGAUAGAUUAUUGCAAUUAUUAAUCUUCAACGAGGAAUGCCUAGUAGGCGCAAGUCAUCAGCUUGCGUCGAUUACGUCCCUGCCCUUUGUACACACCGCCCGUCGCUCCUACCGAUUGGGUGUGCUGGUGAAAUGUUCGGAUCGGCCGUUUGUCGCGGUUUCCACGGCUCGUGGCUGAGAAGUUCAUUAAACCCUCCCACCUAGAGGAAGGAGAAGUCGUAACA